rnacentral:rRNA from 1 species
CACGUAGGGCGCAAGCGUUGCUCGGAAUUACUGGGCGUAAAGGGCGCGUAGGCGGCCAACUAAGUCAGACGUGAAAUCCCUCGGCUCAACCGGGGAACUGCGUCUGGAUACUGGAUGGCUUGAAUUCGGGAGAGGGAUGCGGAAUUCCGAGGUGUAGCGGUGAAAUGCGUAGAUAUCUGGAGGAACACCGGUGGCGAAGGCGGCAGUC